rnacentral:tRNA from 1 species
GCCGGUGUAGCUCAGCUGGCAGAGCAACUGUCUUGUAAACAGUAGGUCGUCGGUUCGAAUCCGACCACCGGCUCCA